UAUUAUGGGCGGCUAUGUUGGGAAGCAGAAAUGCUCGCCGGACCUGUCCCGGCCUUCCAACCCGAUAUCGGCCGCCCACCCUC
rnacentral:antisense_RNA from 1 species